rnacentral:rRNA from 1 species
CGGCAUGCGCAGCUACACAUGCAGUCCGAACGGUAGCACAGAGAAGCUUGCUCUCGGGUGACGAGUGGCGGACGGGUGAGUAAUGUCUGGGAAACUGCCUGAUGGAGGGGGAUAACUACUGGAAACGGUAGCUAAUACCGCAUAACGUCGCAAGACCAAAGAGGGGGACCUUCGGGCCUCUUGCCAUCAGAUGUGCCCAGAUGGGAUUAGCUAGUAGGUGGGGUAACGGCUCACCUAGGCGACGAUCCCUAGCUGGUCUGAGAGGAUGACCAGCCACACUGGAACUGAGACACGGUCCAGACUCCUACGGGAGGCAGCAGUGGGGAAUAUUGCACAAUGGGCGCAAGCCUGAUGCAGCCAUGCCGCGUGUAUGAAGAAGGCCUUCGGGUUGUAAAGUACUUUCAGCGGGGAGGAAGGUGUUGUGGUUAAUAACCGCAGCAAUUGACGUUACCCGCAGAAGAAGCACCGGCUAACUCCGUGCCAGCAGCCGCGGUAAUACGGAGGGUGCAAGCGUUAAUCGGAAUUACUGGGCGUAAAGCGCACGCAGGCGGUCUGUCAAGUCGGAUGUGAAAUCCCCGGGCUCAACCUGGGAACUGCAUUCGAAACUGGCAGGCUGGAGUCUUGUAGAGGGGGGUAGAAUUCCAGGUGUAGCGGUGAAAUGCGUAGAGAUCUGGAGGAAUACCGGUGGCGAAGGCGGCCC